rnacentral:rRNA from 1 species
GGAAACGAUAGCUAAUACCGCAUAACAAUGGAUGACUCAUGUCAUUUAUUUGAAAGGGGCAAAUGCUCCACUACAAGAUGGACCUGCGUUGUAUUAGCUAGUAGGUGAGGUAACGGCUCACCUAGGCGACGAUACAUAGCCGACCUGAGAGGGUGAUCGGCCACACUGGGACUGAGACACGGCCCAGACUCCUACGGGAGGCAGCAGUAGGGAAUCUUCGGCAAUGGGGGCAACCCUGACCGAGCAACGCCGCGUGAGUGAAGAAGGUUUUCGGAUCGUAAAGCUCUGUUGUAAGUCAAGAACGAGUGUGAGAGUGGAAAGUUCACACUGUGACGGUAGCUUACCAGAAAGGGACGGCUAACUACGUGCCAGCAGCCGCGGUAAUACGUAGGUCCCGAGCGUUGUCCGGAUUUAUUGGGCGUAAAGCGAGCGCAGGCGGUUUGAUAAGUCUGAAGUUAAAGGCUGUGGCUCAACCAUAGUUCGCUUUGGAAACUGUCAAACUUGAGUGCAGAAGGGGAGAGUGGAAUUCCAUGUGUAGCGGUGAAAUGCGUAGAUAUAUGGAGGAACACCGGUGGCGAAAGCGGCUCUCUGGUCUGUAACUGACGCUGAGGCUCGAAAGCGUGGGGAGCGAACAGGAUUAGAUACCCUGGUAGUCCACGCCGUAAACGAUGAGUGCUAGGUGUUGGAUCCUUUCCGGGAUUCAGUGCCGCAG